GAUGAACGCUGGCGGCGUGCCUAAUACAUGCAAGUCGAGCGAACGGACGAGACGCUUGCUUUUCUGAUGUUUGCGGCGGACGGGUGAGUCACACGUGUAUAACCUACCUAUAAGACUGGUAUAACUUCGGGACACCGGCUCUAAUACCGGAUAAUCUUUUGCACCGCAUGGUUCAAUAGUGAAAGUCGGUCUUUCUGUCACUUCUCGCUGGAUCCGCGCUGCAUUAGCUAGUUGUUAAGGUCACGGCUUAUCAAGGCAACGAUGCAUAGCCGACCGGAGAGGGUGAUCGGCGACCCUGGAACUGAGACACGGUCCAGGGUCCUACGGGAGGCAGCAGUAGGGAAUCGUACGCAAUGGGCGGAAGCAUGACGGAGCAACGCCGCGUGAGUGAUGAAGGUCUUGGGAUCGUAAAACUCUGUUAUUAGGGAAGAACAUAUGUGUAAGGAACUGUGCACAUCUUGACGGUACCUAAUCAGAAAGCCACGGCUAACUACGUG
rnacentral:rRNA from 1 species